CGGGGAGUGGCUCAGGCUGGUAGAGCACGAGCUUUGGGAGCUCGAAGUCGUGGGUUCAAAUCCCUCCUCCCCGACCA
rnacentral:tRNA from 1 species